rnacentral:lncRNA from 1 species
AUUGAGUUAAUUAGAAGCGUUUUUACCGAAUACAAACAUUGUAAGGGACUUAAAUGCAAAAUCCCCUUAAAACGUCUGGUUCAGUCAAUUAAGAGGGCCUUUUACUGAAUAUAUGCUUUUUCAGGGGCUUAAGUGCAGAAUCCCCCUGUUUCAGUAAAUGGGUAAUCGGUUUCGGAUUUCGGGUUGGGACCCAAAAUCCGAACCCGUUAGGGACAUCUUCCUCCUCCCUUCCAUUUUUCCCAAUUAAAACCCUAAAGUCGCCGGCGGUGGAAAAAUCCCUAAACACCGCCGGUGAGACAUCGGCUUUCCUCUACCACCGGCAGUCGGCCUGAGACCGCCGUCCCGACCAUCGGUGAGCCGGCGCUAGGCCGAUCUAGAUGGGAGAACGGUGGGAAAGCCGGCCCUUAAUCUCCACCUAAUGAUGGCAGGCCACCGAAAAAAAAUUCAAAGGACCGACCGUCGACCUCUCCGAGGACCGAUCAAUCCUUUUUCGCCGGCGAUAGGGAGGGGCAACCGCCGGUUUACCGAGAUCCGACAGUUCCUUUUUCAUGCCUUCCAUCCUCAAAAGAAAACCCAGUCGGCGGCUGUCGGAAAAGCCCAGAUCGGCCGAGCGCCGCAGUCUGAACAGGUGGUUGCCGGAGGGGAAGGGUACUCGGAAGGACGGCCUGGCUAGGGACGCCGACAGCCGCUGGACACGGACCACAGGUCCGACCACCGUUAUAAGAAAAGGAUGAUGGAACACCGACUGCCCUU